rnacentral:rRNA from 1 species
UGCGUAGGCGGCUUUUUAAGUCGGAUGUGAAAUCCCUGAGCUUAACUUAGGAAUUGCAUUCGAUACUGGAAAGCUAGAGUAUGGGAGAGGAUGGUAGAAUUCCAGGUGUAGCGGUGAAAUGCGUAGAGAUCUGGAGGAAUACCGAUGGCGAAGGCAGCCAUCUGGACUGAUACUGACACUGAGGUGCGAAAGCGUGGGGAGCGAACAGGAUUAGAUACCCCCGUA